CCGCUCGAGGCUCCCGCCCGUGCCCGGGGUGGCCACAGGUGACACACGGGCCACCGGGCACCGGGAGGCAGCAGCCGGCGGCACUGCAGCAGCGCGGGUGUCACUGACACCGAGCCAAGCUCUGUCCCCACAGGAGGGGUAGGCCCAGUGCCUCUUCAGCAGGUGGAGUGUCCCCGGCUGGAGGAGGACAAAGUCUGUCUCAGCUCUGUUCUGCAAGUUGUCACAGGCCCACACACACAGAACUGCCAUCUCUUUGAGAACUUGCUGCUCAUAGAGAUUGCAAGUUCUCAAAUUCUUUGAUGAUAAGUUUAUAUAAGGUGCCAGCACUCAACAGCUGCGAUGUGAAGUGGGGGCUUCCACAAGAGCCUCCAUCAAUACUGCCAGGGCUGUCCUGGGCCAUCCGCAGCCUCAAAAGCAGCACUCUCCUCCUGCCUCACCGAGUGCCCAGCCUGGAACAGCCUCAGCAUCGCAGCAAACGAGCUCCCAGUACACACCAGUACUACAUUUAUUUACCUGGUGAUUUUUGGUCCAUUCAGCACACACACUUAGAUUGAAAGAAACCCAAGCAAGCCUUCUAGGAAGAAAUUCAAUGAACACUGAAAAAACACCAUUAACCCAUUUUCUAAAUUUAUAAAUUUCAAAAUCCCCAUUCUUCCUACAUAUCUUUAAUUCUAUGAUUGAAAGCAAAAUUCAGUAUUCAGAA